rnacentral:rRNA from 1 species
GUGACACCGUGCCUAUUGAAGAAUGAGCCUGCGAGUUAUCUUAAUAUGCGUUGCUUAAGCCCCUACGGGGUGGAGGCGUAGCGAAAGCGAGUCUUAAUAGGGCGUUUUGUAUGUUAAGAUGGACCCGAAACCGGGUGAGCUAACCUUGAGCAGGGUGAAUCCCGAUGAAGAUCGUGGAGGAGGCCCGAACCCUUGUAUGUUGCAAUAUGCUGGGAUGACUUGAGGUUAGGGAUGAAACGUUUAUCGAACCCGGAGAUAGCUGGUUCUCCCCGAAAUAUAUUUAGGUAUAGCCCUAAAAGGUGAGCUUUGGAGGUAAAGAUACUGGAAGGAGACGCGGCGGGAAACCGUACGCUCUCCUACCAAACUCAUAAUGCCAAAGUUUCUAUUUUAGGAGUCAGUAUGUGGGAGCAAGUUCCAUAGUACAAAAGGGAAACAGCCCAGACCAUCAGCUAAGGCCCCUAAAUCCGGAUUAAGUGUGAAAGGAAGUGAAAUUGCUAAAACAUCCAGGAGGUUGGCUCAGAAGCAGCAAUCCUUUAAAGAGUGCGUAACAGCUCACUGGCAUAGCGAUUUCGCGCCGAAAAUUUAUCGGGGCUCAAAUCCGGUGCCGAAGCUAUGGAUACUUGUGCUUCGCACGAGGAAUUCCUAAUUGACCUAAUUGAUAUAAUUAACCUAAACAAAUCCUAGUUUUGGGAAUUAUUUAGAAAUUAGAAAUUAGAAAUUUCCCGUGCGGAGCAUGGGUGUGGUAGGGGAGCGUUCCUAUUGCGACAAAGGUUUCCUGUAAAGGCAAACUGGAGCGGUAGGAAGUGAGAAUGCAGGCAUGAGUAGCGUAAUCCCGAUGAAAAUUCGGGACGCCGAAAGCCCAAGGUUUCCUUCGCAACGUUGUUCGGCGAAGGGUUAGUCGGUCCUAACCGUAGUCCCGAUGAAUCGGGAUGGGGGAUGGACAAACGGUUAAUAUUCCGUUACUUUAAGAUAUCUGUUGAUGGAGCGACGAAGUUUGAUAAGCGGAGCGGCUAUAUGGUUGGCCGUCUAAGCAGUAAGUCAGCAAGUGUAGGCAAAUCCGCAUUUGCGAAAAAUCCCUUUUUGGGAAAGAAGACAAGCUGUGGGAAAUUCCUUUUUGGGAAAUUCCGCCAACUUAAGCUUCCAAGAAAACCUUCUAAACUUUAGAUGUCUUAAAUCCGUACCGCAAACCGACACUGGUGGGCAGAUAGAGAAUAUUAAGGUGAACGGGAGAACGAUGGUUGAGGAACUCGGCAAAUUAACCCCGUAACUUAGGGAUAAGGGGAACCUGCCUCGUGUGGAGCACGAGGGUGAUAAAUUAAAAAUGUAAAUAUCAAGACAUAAAGAAGGGGAAAGCGCAUGGUAUUAAACUUUAAACAUUUGAAUUUUGUCAUUCUCACGCUCUGCGUGAGGCGGGUCGCAGGUAAACGGCCCAAGCGACUGUUUAGCAAAAACACAGCACUCUGCUUAACCCGUAAGGGGAUGUAUAGGGUGUGAGGCCUGCCCGGUGCCCGUAGGUUAAACCCAGAGGUUCACGCUUUUGGGCUAAGCCCGGGUGAACGGCAGCAGUAACUAUGA